UACAGAGGGUGCGAGCGUUGUCCGGAAUCACUGGGCGUAAAGGGCGCGUAGGUGGUGGCUUAAGCGUGCGGUGAAAGCUCGGGGCUCAACCCCGAGUCGGCCGUGCGAACUGGGCUCACUGGAGCAUAGUAGAGGCAGGUGGAAUUCCGGGUGUAGCGGUGGAAUGCGUAGAUAUCAGGAGGAACACCGGUGGUGUAGACGGCUCACUGGACCGUAACUGACGCUGAGACACGAAAGCGUGGGUAGCAAACAGG
rnacentral:rRNA from 1 species